UAUAAUCUCAAGGGGUGCCCUACCGAACGGGCUGAGAUCAAACCCAUAUGACCUGAUCCGGGUAAUGCCGGCGUAGGGAGAGAAAAGCAACCAUUUG
rnacentral:ncRNA from 2 species